GGAGAGAUGGCUGAGUGGUUGAUAGCUCUGAUCUUGAAAAUCGGCAUAGUUCUUUGUUCAUAACUAUCGAGGGUUCGAAUCCCUCUCUCUCCU
rfam:Beta vulgaris subsp. vulgaris contig111901.1, whole genome shotgun sequence.